rnacentral:lncRNA from 1 species
AUAGACAGUUAAUGUUAGCAGCAGGUGAUAGUGCUGGUACAUUACACAUAUUAGAAAUACCAUGGAGUCUAAGUCAUGCAUCAAGCAAUGAAUUACUAAUAAUGGAGUCAUUUUUUGAUUGAAAGGUUAAGAGGUUGGAUUUUGUUAGUGAGAGAAACAGAAUGAGAGAAAUAGAAAAGAAAGCACUUGAUGAGAAGAAAGCUUCAGCUCAUGAUGAUGAAGAAGAAGAAAAGAAGAACGAACUUCAGAAAGAUGAUGAAGAAAAAUAUGAACUGGAGUAUAGAGAUUAUCUAAAGUUGGAACAAUCAUUAUUGAUUGAACUAGGACUGAGACAACCAGCAGAUGAAAACUGAGAGAGAGAGUGUGUGUGUUAUUGAGUAAGAGAGAGAUUGAUAGUCUAAUGAGUUUGAUUUCAUGUCAGUAUAUUAUUGUUAAAAUGCCCACACUAGAUAGGUCA